rnacentral:rRNA from 1 species
CAGUCGCCACGGUAAAACGGAGGGUGCAAGCGUUAUCCGGAUUUAUUGGGUUUAAAGGGUCCGUAGGCGGAUCUGUAAGUCAGUGGUGAAAUCUCACAGCUUAACUGUGAAACUGCCAUUGAUACUGCAGGUCUUGAGUAAAUUUGAAGUGGCUGGAAUAAGUAGUGUAGCGGUGAAAUGCAUAGAUAUUACUUAGAACACCAAUUGCGAAGGCAGGUCACUAAGAUUUAACUGACGCUGAUGGACGAAAGCGUGGGGAGCGAACAGGAUUAGAUACCCGUGUAGUCCCUGUCUCUUAUAC